rnacentral:rRNA from 1 species
GAUCAUGGCUCAGGAUGAACGCUGGCGGCGUGCCUAACACAUGCAAGUCGAACGAAGAAAUUGUAGCAAUACGGUUUCUUAGUGGCGGACGGGUGAGUAACACGUAGGUGACCUGCCCCGAAGUGUGGAAUAACAGUCCGAAAGGAUUGCUAAUACCGCAUGUGGUCUGUGAGGUUAGAGUCUUGCAGACUAAAGCAGUAAUGUGCUUCGGGAGGGGCCUGCGCCCCAUCAGCUAGUUGGUAGGGUAAUGGCCUACCAAGGCAACAACGGGUAGGGGGCCUGAGAGGGUGACCCCCCACAUUGGCACUGACACACGGGCCAAACUCCUACGGGAGGCAGCAGUGAGGAAUAUUGCUCAAUGGGCGAAAGCCUGAAGCAGCAACGCCGCGUGCGCGAUGAAGGCCUUCGGGUCGUAAAGCGCUUUUGAGAGGGACGAGAUAGGACGGUACCUCUGGAAUAAGUCACGGCUAACUACGUGCCAGCAGCAGC